rnacentral:rRNA from 1 species
UGUGAUGUACCUAGUAAUAUUACUGAUUAAUAUGAGGCUAACCGAGUUAGUUAAAAUUCUAAGUAUAUAUGUGAUUAUGACAAUAUGUGCUUAUUUCUUGACCAAGUCACGUGCCAGCCGUCGCGGUAAUACGUGGAAGAUCAUUGUUAUUCAUCUUUAUCAGGUUUAAAGGCUAGCUAAACGGUUAAUUAAGCUUUAGUAGGAACUAAUUAACUAGAGUUGAGUGUACGAGUGAUUGAAUACGGUGAGUGUAGAGAUAAAAUUCUGUCAUACCACUUAGGAACUGGUAAAAGCGAAGGCAACUUUCUAUGUAAAAACUGACGUUAAGGGACGAAGGCUCGUAUCAAAUAACAGGAUUAGAUACCCCAGCAUUGUGGGCAGACAAUGAUGAGUGUCAUAUGCAAGAGAUAAAAAAAAAUAUUUUGUGUAUAAAUGAAAGUGUAAGCACUCCACCUCAAGAGUAACGUGGCAACAUGGGAACUGAAAUCAUUAGACCGUUUCUGAAACUCGUAGUGAAGUAUGUUGUUUAAUUAGAUGGUGCACAAAUAACCUUACCACAAUUUGUAUAACUAUAGUACAUAAUAAUAAUAUAGUUACAAGCGUUGCACGGCUGUCUUUAGUCUAUGUUGUGAAACUGUGGUUAGAUCCAUUAAAUAGACGUAAACCCUUACUUUAUUUAUUAUAAAGUAGUUCGCCGCUAUAUUGGUAG